rfam:Homo sapiens chromosome 12, GRCh38 reference primary assembly.
GCUGGGCAUGGUGGCUCAUGCCUGUAAUCCCAGCACUUUGGGAGGCCGAGGCAGGUGGGUCACCUGAGGUCAGGAGUUCGAGGACAGCCUGACCAACAUGGUGAAACCCUGUCUCUA